rnacentral:rRNA from 1 species
AUUGAACGCUAGCGGGAUGCCUUACACAUGCAAGUCGAACGGCAGCACGGACUUCGGUCUGGUGGCGAGUGGCGAACGGGUGAGUAAUGUAUCGGAACGUGCCUAGUAGCGGGGGAUAACUACGCGAAAGCGUAGCUAAUACCGCAUACGCCCUACGGGGGAAAGCAGGGGAUCGCAAGACCUUGCACUAUUAGAGCGGCCGAUAUCGGAUUAGCUAGUUGGUGGGGUAACGGCUCACCAAGGCGACGAUCCGUAGCUGGUUUGAGAGGACGACCAGCCACACUGGGACUGAGACACGGCCCAGACUCCUACGGGAGGCAGCAGUGGGGAAUUUUGGACAAUGGGGGAAACCCUGAUCCAGCCAUCCCGCGUGUGCGAUGAAGGCCUUCGGGUUGUAAAGCACUUUUGGCAGGAAAGAAACGUCAUGGGUUAAUACCCCGUGAAACUGACGGUACCUGCAGAAUAAGCACCGGCUAACUACGUGCCAGCAGCCGCGGUAAUACGUAGGGUGCAAGCGUUAAUCGGAAUUACUGGGCGUAAAGCGUGCGCAGGCGGUUCGGAAAGAAAGAUGUGAAAUCCCAGAGCUUAACUUUGGAACUGCAUUUUUAACUAC